AAGGCGCUUGAGAGAACUCGGGUGAAGGAACUAGGCAAAAUGGUGCCGUAACUUCGGGAGAAGGCACGCUGAUAUGUAGGUGAAGCGACUUGCUCGUGGAGCUGAAAUCAGUCGAAGAUACCAGCUGGCUGCAACUGUUUAUUAAAAACACAGCACUGUGCAAACACGAAAGUGGACGUAUACGGUGUGACGCCUGCCCGGUGCCGGAAGGUUAAUUGAUGGGGUUAGCGGUAACGCGAAGCUCUUGAUCGAAGCCCCGGUAAACGGCGGCCGUAACUAUAACGGUCCUAAGGUAGCGAAAUUCCUUGUCGGGUAAGUUCCGACCUGCACGAAUGGCGUAAUGAUGGCCAGGCUGUCUCCACCCGAGACUCAGUGAAAUUGAACUCGCUGUGAAGAUGCAGUGUACCCGCGGCAAGACGGAAAGACCCCGUGAACCUUUACUAUAGCUUGACACUGAACAUUGAGCCUUGAUGUGUAGGAUAGGUGGGAGGCUUUGAAGUGUGGACGCCAGUCUGCAUGGAGCCGACCUUGAAAUACCACCCUUUAAUGUUUGAUGUUCUAACGUUGGCCCGUAAUCCGGGUUGCGGACAGUGUCUGGUGGGUAGUUUGACUGGGGCGGUCUCCUCCUAAAGAGUAACGGAGGAGCACGAAGGUUGGCUAAUCCUGGUCGGACAUCAGGAGGUUAGUGCAAUGGCAUAAGCCAGCUUGACUGCGAGCGUGACGGCGCGAGCAGGUGCGAAAGCAGGUCAUAGUGAUCCGGUGGUUCUGAAUGGAAGGGCCAUCGCUCAACGGAUAAAAGGUACUCCGGGGAUAACAGGCUGAUACCGCCCAAGAGUUCAUAUCGACGGCGGUGUUUGGCACCUCGAUGUCGGCUCAUCACAUCCUGGGGCUGAAGUAGGUCCCAAGGGUAUGGCUGUUCGCCAUUUAAAGUGGUACGCGAGCUGGGUUUAGAACGUCGUGAGACAGUUCGGUCCCUAUCUGCCGUGGGCGCUGGAGAACUGAGGGGGGCUGCUCCUAGUACGAGAGGACCGGAGUGGACGCAUCACUGGUGUUCGGGUUGUCAUGCCAAUGGCACUGCCCGGUAGCUAAAUGCGGAAGAGAUAAGUGCUGAAAGCAUCUAAGCACGAAACUUGCCCCGAGAUGAGUUCUCCCUGACUCCUUGAGGGUCCUGAAGGAACGUUGAAGACGACGACGUUGAUAGGCCGGGUGUGUAAGCGCAGCGAUGCGUUGAGCUAACCGGUACUAAUGAACCGUGAGGCUUAACCUU
rnacentral:rRNA from 1 species